rnacentral:rRNA from 1 species
GACGAACGCUGGCGGCGUGCUUAACACAUGCCAGUCGAACGGUGAAGCUCCAGCUUGCUGGAGUGGAUCAGUGGCGAACGGGUGAGUAACACGUGAGCAACCUGCCCCUGACUCUGGAAUAAGCGCUGGAAACGGCGUCUAAUACUGGAUACGAGAAGGGUCCGCAUGGGCACUUUCUGGAAAGUUUUUCGGUUGGGGAUGGGCUCGCGGCCUAUCAGCUUGUUGGUGAGGUAAUGGCUCACCAAGGCGACGACGGGUAGCCGGCCUGAGAGGGCGACCGGCCACACUGGGACUGAGACACGGCCCAGACUCCUACGGGAGGCAGCAGCGGGGAAUAUUGCACAAUGGGCGAAAGCCUGAUGCAGCGACGCCGCGUGAGGGAUGACGGCCUUCGGGUUGUAAACCUCUUUCAGCAGGGAAGAAGCGAAAGUGACGGUACCUGCAGAAGAAGCACCGGCUAACUACGUG